CUUAUCUGACUGCAGAGAGGAUGACAGAGAACAGUGGACACACAGUUUAACAUGAUGGACUAUAGGACAGGACUGCUGCUUUUAACUCUCUGCUGGGCAGGUGUUGAUGGUCAGACUCUGACACAAUCUGAACCUGUGGUUAAAAGACCUGGAGAAUCCCACACACUGACCUGUACAACAUCUGGAUUCACAUUCAGCAGCUACUAUAUGGCCUGGAUCAGACAGGCUCCUGGAAAAGGACUGGAGUGGAUUGCGAGUCAUUAUGACAGUAGCAACAUCUACUACUCUCAGUCAUUUCAAGGCCGGUUUACCAUCUCCAGAGACAACAGCAGACAGCAGGUGUAUCUGCAGAUGAACAGUCUGAAGACUGAAGAUUCUGCUGUUUAUUAUUGUGCUCGAGAGCCACAGUGACUGGAGUUGGUUGAGCAGCUGUACAAAAUCC